UUACCCAAGCAACGAGUUUCAUGGACUUGCAAAGGUUGCACAAUCUAAUUAUUAGGCCUUGAAUGAUUAAGGAUAUAACUCCACCCACUGAUGUGACAUGUGAAAUACAAGUUUGUUUACUUUACUAUCGUGGAAGGUUGUUAAGAGAAAAUAUAUCAUUGUCCGGGUUAAGUAUCUGCGUCAUGAAGAAAGUAUUUUAAGAUGUUUUACUUUAGUCAGUAAAUUUUUAAAUCAUUAUUUAAAAUUGUGAAGUGGGUCUAUAAAUCCUUUUACAAGCCAAUGACCUUUUUCUAACCGAAUGGAAAAUUCAAUCUCUCGUUAGAUGUAUAAAUUACAAUACCAUAUCUUUUGUUUGUCUUUACUUCUACUAGUAUAUUUAUUGCGUUCAAUGAUCUUCAAUGUCGAAGUUUCUAGUUACUUAUUUGAAAGUUAUGAAAGUAUAUUCUAACUGUAAUGUAAUUUCUUAUAUAUAAUAAAGCUUAACAGUCCAAUGACCUAGAUACUAGUAUAAUUUAUGAUGCUGCUACUAAAAACCAGCCGGCGCCAUACACUGGAAAAAUUACAUAUGAACCAAGCAUCAAAAGCACACGGAUUAGUCAAGGUAUAAUGGAUUUAGGCCCACAACCCUAUGAAAUAAUUGUAUUGAUAACAUAUGCAAACUCCA
rnacentral:lncRNA from 1 species